rnacentral:rRNA from 1 species
GAUGAACGCUGGCGGCGUGCCUAACACAUGCAAGUCGAACGGAAAGACCAUGAGCUUGUGCCUUUAACGUUAGCGGCUGGCGGGCGAGUAACGCGUGUAUAACCUACCUAUAUUUCGGGGAGAACUACGGAAAGCCGGAUAUAAUACCACAGAAUAUAUUGUACCGCGGGGUGCAGUGGAAAAUGACGGCUUUGGUGUCUGGAUUAGCUGGUUCCGUGCCGGCUUAUCUGGUGGGUAAGGUAACAGCAUACCAAGGCUACGAUGCGUAGCCGAGCGGAGAGAGUGAUCGGCCACACUGGAACUGAGACACGGUCCAGACUCCUACGGGAGGCAGCAGUAGGGAAUAUUAGGCAAUGGGCGAAAGCCUGACGCAGCAACGCCGCGUGAGUGAUGACGGCCUUCGGAUCGUAAAGCCCUGUUAUUAGGGAAGAACAGCUGUGUCCGUAAACAUGGCCGUAUUGACGGUACCUAAUAAGAAAGCAACGGCUAACUACGUG